GCUCUUUAGAGCAUAGUCGGCUGGCAAUCCGGAGGUGGUCUCUGAUUUGGUCAUCUUUGUCUAGCUCUUUCACAUUUUUGGCCGGCAAUGGUCCAAGUCCCCGUUUUCUCCUGGCUUUUGCUACAUCUCUCCCAUUCUUCAUCUGAAGUUUUGAGCAGGGAAGAUUUGUGGGUUGAGUGAGUGCUGAAGUUCUCCCUCUGAAGUUAA
rnacentral:misc_RNA from 1 species